rnacentral:lncRNA from 1 species
CUGUGGGGGCACAUUAGGGCGCUGUAAGGCCUCUCCCCCCAUCCGGUCUAAAAGAAUCGAGCCUUCAUUUUAGGUAUGUUAGGAUGAGGUUCUCCCCCCAUUCCUAACAUAACUUUGUUUUAGGCGUUUGAAGGGGUUAUACCCAGUCGUGACAAAUCCAUGCCAAAUGGGAAGAGCACGUCAAGUAGAAAGAAAUUUAGAUUCAAGGUGAAAUCGUAAGUGAUACAUUUACAGGUUUUUCGAGUUCCAUGAUUGCGGGAGGUCUGCUCCUCCUUGAGGCCCUCCGGUGAUGGAGUCGAUGGUCCCGAUGGGAGGCCGAUCCCCGGGUUGCUCCUCCCUUCUUGGCGGUUCAGGUUGCGGAAGGGCCCUUGGCCGAUCUCCUCUACCCUUAGGCCUGCGUCGAAUGAACUUGUCGAGUCAACCUCGUCGGAUGAGCUCCUCGAUCUCGUCUCGGAGCUGGAUGCAUUCCUCCGUGUCGUGGCCGUGGUCGCGGUGGUAGAGACAGAACUUGUUGGGGUUGUGCUUCCCGGGGUGUGUG